UACGCGGGAUCAUCAAUCAUGGGGGGUGCUUGAAGUUUAGGGGAGGAGCGAUGGUCAAACUAUCGAUUGCUGCAGUUUUGUCCUCCCCAACCCCCCCACCCUCGUUCACGGUCCCCUGCACAUAAAAUCUAAAACAGACUAUCCCGUUAAUAGUGGGAUUUAUCAAUGAUUAUGUACCCGAUUGUGAAUGUGGCCUCAUACAUAGAUGGCUUUUGAAAAUACACGGCAGAAAAAAUGAUAUUCAGUUAGAUUUUGGGUUGCUUUGCUUUUCGUGAUGAUGACGAUGCUUUUCACUGGUUUUUUUUUUGUUGUUGUUGUUUGCUUGGACUUUUUUGGGUUUUGAUUUUGUGGUUGGUUUGUUUGUUUGUUUGUUUUGGUUUUGUUUUUUUUUUUAAACUUUAGGAAAAUGACUCAAGGGAUGGGUAUAGAUAUUUGGCCUGAUUUUAAUAGGCGAAGGGAAUGAGCUCCAGAGGUCAAUAAACCCCUCCAAAAUGAUGAAUGAUUGAGUACCUGUGAUGAUGAUAGUGAUUACCGGAGCAAUUAAACAGUUUGAUUAAAUGAGCCAUCAUAACAAUGAUGUCUGCGGGAAAUCAACCCUCACAUAUAAAGAAAGAUAGUGUGGAGGGCUGACAAAUGCCAGUGGGCAUUCCUGCGUGUUCCGCUAGAGCCGAGCCUUGCAGAGCAGGGCUGUAUUUACAAAUAUGAGGGGAAUAUGGAGAAAAGUCCCUCUCCUACUUUUAGCGAGAGUUGCACCCUGCUUAAAACCCGCCAGAAGCCGGAGAGCAGAUCCGGUUUGUUUUUUUUUUUUUUCCUAGAGGAUCUACAAGAUUAAAGCUAGUCCCAAGAGCAACCGAAUUGCUGUGACUGACUUUCACGGGACUUUAAAGAGAGAUCGGCUCAAAAGUCCAAAGAGAAAUGAGGUGUCUGGUAUGGAAGUGCAUCUCAGUCAACCGCCAGCUCCUUUUGCCGAGGCUGGAAAUGGUUUUAACAGGCGGUAAAAUUUCAUCUUGUGGUGUCAAAUUGGGGUCAGUUUGGGGUUAGCGCUCUCAGUGUCCGAGCAGGAGCUGUCCAGCUGUGUGGGGAUUCAUUAAGGGCAAAAGAUCCGUUUCAAGAAAAACAAUACAAAGACAAUCAGAGGGCUAAAGAUCCUCUUCAAAUCGCAUUUUACAAGUGCACCAGAACAAAUAUGGAUGCUGAAACCUAUUCCCUUCAAACUCCUAAAUCGGCUUCUUAGUCCUUGGAGGGAGCGAGAGAGAAAAUCCUCUAAAACUUAAGAAGAGUCUGUUUUCAAUCAGCCUUUCCGAAGUGUGGCAUCUUAGUCCUUUGCUGGCUUUGAGACAUGCCUCUCUCGCUCGGUCGCUACCUCCCUCUCUCUCCCUCUCUUUUUCCACAGCCUUGCAAAAGCGGAUGGCACAACAGGUAAUAUUUCAGAUUUCAAGAAUAAAUCCCUUCGGAGACCUUAAACUGCUGUUUUGCACGCAUGUGUGUGCUUAGUGCAAGAUUUAAUGCAAAUAGAAAGUUUUUUGGAGGAAAUAAGCCAUGCUUACACGAAAUCCUAUUGGACUCUGUAGGAAAUUUUGUGCUCUCCUUGUAGGUGAUGCUCCGGACGGUGGGUAAUUUAGGCUAGAGUUACUUUCCGGUUCUUGGCAUUUGUGGAAAGCACCUAUUGCUAAUCUGGUUUAUUAAAUUCGCGUGGUUUAAAUCCUCUUAACGUCCCUACAUCUGUUAGAACAAUUGACGCCUUGCUACAGAAACAAAUAACUUGAACCUUAAUCUCGUUUGUAGCCUUAUUUAAUGUUUGUUUGUUUGUGUGCUGAGUUCAAGUAUUUUUGGAUGAUGCCAUUGUGUUCCGUAACACAUAGACUACAUUUGCAGGCAAAGCUCCCUACGGACGGGCUGAGGAUAUCGAGGAAGAGAGUGAAAAAUUUUGCAUAUUCGAACUGGCAUUUUUUCUCGAACUAUCGUUCUAGGCAAUGUGUCAUAUUUAAUGAAGAAAACAAUCUGCCUGUUAAAAUGAGGAUGCGGGAUUACAUCACCAUGACCCCGUAGUGAAAUACACAGGAUUUUUCCUUUUUGUUUUGCUCACAAACCAAAGUGUGGGGUUUAAAUAGUACCUUUUCCUUUUUAGAAUCAGGAUUAUACCACAGUUCAUAUUGCUAAACCCCAAAACCACUCUUUAGCACACUCUCCUUUGCCCUUACGGUUGCUUUUUACAACUUCAGUCACUUUUUAUUCGUCUCAGCACACUUUGAUUCGCCUCCGACUUCCCGCAGCUGCACGACUUUUGAGGUCCCAUCUCGAUUGCCCCUGUGAAAUCAUGCACGUUUUAGCUUCUGCAGAUCACUGGGUUCAUUUAGCUUCUCACCCCGAUCCCCCCGCCUGCCAGUAGCAUACUUUGCUUUUCGCUCAGCAAUGUAUUAUUAUUUGUCGAAAAUCUUUCUAGUCCAGAAAGUCAAUGGUAGCCCAUCACGGUGAACUUUUCUUGACCUCGACUGUGGUAUGACUGAGAUCUUUGGGAGCUGGAUUAGGAGGAGUUCAUUUACUUACCUGUUAACUUCACUUUUAACUCUUUCUCCCCCCCCCCCCCCCCCUUUUUUUUUUAAAGGAAAAAAAACCCCAAACCUACACGAAGCAAGAACGAUUCGGGGUCAUCCUUCUCUCCCGACCCUCUUUCUCCCCCUCCUUCCCCGGGUUACAAGGCUCUAACCUGGCAUUUGUGGGAUGUCCCCCCCUCCGGUCUGCCUCUCCCCCGGCUGCAGCGCGGAAUGCCAUCAGCAGCCCUCUAGCGCUAUCUGGCGGGGCUCCAGCAAGAGCCCGCGGACCCACCACGGGCCCAGCCUGCCGCCUGCGCGAAGCCGGGGACGGGGUCCGCUCCGCGUCCGCAGGACUCCUGUCCCUGACUCAGCGACUCCCGCAAGACUUUGAUGAGGUCCCCUCCCCGCACCCCAUCCCUGUGGGGCGAAACCCGCUGUGGGAAAUGGCACACAGAUGAACCCCGUCGGGUUUGUCCGGUUUAUCUCACGCGGGUGCACAUGAAACGCUAAAGUCAGAGGAGAGCUGAGAUUUUUUUUUUUUUUAAAUUUCAUUUUAUUUAGGCUGGGAGGUUUGUAAAAGUGAAGAUCAUAAACAACCGAUGUAUUUCCAUUUAUACACCAGAAAAAAAAAAAAAAAAAACAAACCCACCAAAAAAACCCCCCCCCCACCACUGCUUCCACCAGAUAGUUAAAAAUCUAGUUUGCAUUUUUUUGAAGAAACCCGAAGUACGAAAAAAAAUCCUUCUUUCCAAUAUGGCAUGAUAACCAAAAGGACAGUUAGGGCAAACUAAAUGAGUUUAGUGAGUAUCAGAGAAUCCGUGAAGGCUCCAAACUCUGCUCAGAGCUCUGCUCUCGCUCACUCAAAAUAUCCCCUUUUGUUCUCCAGCUGCCUAUAAAACUCCAGAAGAGGAGCGCUCUCAUUUUUACAGAAGUUUUCGGUCCGGAGAGAACAAUAUACUCCUACCUCUUUUGAAAUGAUCCAGAGACUCUCACAACACACAGGCAGGCGAUCACUCGAAGCAUGAAUUUCCCCCCCCCCCCUUUUUUUUUUUUCAAGAACUGCUCGGCCCAUUGUUUGAAACGGGAUUCAGCGCACAACCCAAAGAGAAAAGGGAAAAAAAAAAGUCUUAGGAGCUCGCUUUGGUAUUGCACUGAGAGAGCUGACAAAAUAUUAUAGCGUUUCCUAGAAGUAUGUGGCAAGAGCCAGUGGUGUGUUCUCAAAAAGAGGUUGCUUUUUAUUUUUUUCCCUCUAAGAUUGUGAUUGUCUUUGUAUGUCUUUCUUUUGAUCCCACAAAGAGAAUACAAUAUACAUAUAUGUAUUUGUUCUCCAUACAAGAAAUGCCGUACAAUGGAAUAUGCGACUGGUUAGUCCUCAUAAUGCUUAGUUUUGCUGUAAUUAAUUGAAAACAGUUAUUAGGUCGUCAUUGGCACUAGCGUAAAUAAUUGCAGCAGAUUUUUACUUAAAAUUGACCGGUCAUAGAGUGAUAGAUCGAUUCGAAGUAUAAAAAUGAUGUAUCAAAACAUCAAUGUCGAUUAUUUGAAAUAUUGUAGUCGAAUCUUUUUAUUGCUUCAUCGGUUAAGUGUCUGAAAGUGCUGUGUUCCAACAUAUAUUUAUGUUGUCAAUACUGUCAAAACUGUCAGUUUUAUUACAGUGGAUUUGUAAUACAUUUCAGAUUUGCUCAUUUACAUAAAAUGUCCACCCCAGAUACCCCUCCUUUUCUCCAUCUCUGGAAAUCUGUGUCAGUUUAAUGAGAGGAUUCAAGACUCAUACCUGAAGAGAAAAAGAAGAAGGAAAAAAAAAGAGGUAUUUCUCCAUUAUGUCCAAUUUAAACAUCCAUUUGGAAAGCUUGAGCUAUUUCUAACUUGCCUUAAGAGGGAAUUCCUUCACCACCACCACCACCACUUCCCCCCUGAUUAUUUCCUCAGUAGAAUUUAAACACUUUUCUACUCUCACACCUAGAUUAAACCCUCCAGGAGAAUUGGGAAACUGAGGAGGGAGACAGUGACAAGCCAGAGCACACCUGUGAAUGCUGCAACCCUCCCAGAGAGUGCAAAGCCCCCCCCCCCCGAACCAUGCGCACACAUGCACAGGGGUUUACAUCCUGCUAGAAAGGAGACAAAAGGAGCAAUAAAUAUGUGUGUGAUCCUUUCUUAAUGAUUAGGAGCCCGAAGGAAAAGAAAGCAAAUUGGAAGCAGUAUUGGACAUUUGAUGCCUCCCCCCCCCCCCGCCCCCAUUUUAUCAGAGUCUGAUUUGAUCUGAUUAUUACCUUUAACUGUUAGCACUGAUUUUUCAUUAGCAUGGUCUCAGAGAACUCCCUAAUUUUCUCCAAGAGCUCAGCUGAGGGAAGAAGAAACUCAGGAAUAAAUAAACAAACCCAUUUUCACAAUAAACUCUUCGAUUGAGGAAACAGUAAAAUUAGGCAAGUAACUUUAUUCCCCACCCUUUUCCGAGGAUGAGGUUGUUCUAAAGGCGUUAUGGACCUGAGGUGUGUGUAGGUUGGUUUCUUUCUUUUUUUUUUCCCUUUUCUUUUUUUUUUUUUCUCCCAGGGAUGUGUAUGUUUAAAUAGAUGCUGAAGAGAUUUCUGAGUUCACAGGGAAGAGGGAAGGUUGGUUAGGGGAACGGCAGCGCGCCUGGCAGGUAUUUUAAUGACCAUCCCUUCCUUUGAACGCUUUCAAUUUCUCUGCUCCUUCUCAUCCAGAAUAUCUUCCCCAAACCAAGUAUGAUUUCUGAUGUAAUUCGCAUGUGUGUUUGUGAUCCCUUCUGAGGUAAAUUGAGAAGUGAGCUGCGCAAAAGGAGGAAAUCGCCCCUGGGGUGCUUUGUUUACUUUGGUUUGUAAAAUCCUGCUAGGAGAUGGUUUCCUCAGUGUGUGGCGUUUCUUCAAGAAAUUCAUCAGCCCCUCUACAAUUGCUUCGAGCUCCGAGGGAAGAGAGCUGCCAUCACUUUCUCACAUCCCAAGGUGUUGCAGGGAGGAGAGAAAAAAAGACUGGAGCAUUUAAUUAUAAUGGAGGGCUGGGGGUGGGGGGAACAGAGGCUUAAGAAAGCCGUCCCAAGCCAGUACCUGCAAAAGAAAAACCUGCAAGAGCAUAUUUGGGAAGCGUGUGCCAUUUAGAGAUGGGGAAAAGUACCCCAUCUUGUGCAGUAAUUAGUCUGAACAAUAAACAUAAUUGGAAUAAAAUCA